UCCAGCAGCGCAGCCUCGGCACC
rnacentral:miRNA from 1 species